rnacentral:rRNA from 1 species
AUUGAACGCUGGCGGCAGGCCUCACACAUGCAAGUCGUGCCGAGCGGCGGACGGGUGCGUAAUACCUAGGAAUCUGCCUGGUCGUGGGGGAUAACGUUCGGACACGGGCGCUAAUACCGCAUACUCUCAGAUGAGCCUAGGUCGGCUUAGCUAGUUGGUGGGGUAAAGGCCUACCAAGGCGACGAUCCGUAACUGGUCUGAGCGGAUGAUCAGUCACCUGGUAACUGUGACACGGUCAAGACUCCGACGAGAGAAAGAAGUGGGGAAUAUUGUACAAUGGGCGAAAGCGUGAUCAAGCCAGGCAGCGUGUGUGAAGAAGGUCUUCGGAGUGUAAAGCACGUUAAGUUGGGAGGCGUUGCCGACAGAAUGAGCACCGGCUAGCUUCGUGCCAGCAGCCGCGGUAAUAC